UACGUAGGUGGCAAGCGUUGUCCGGAAUUAUUGGGCGUAAAGCGCGCGCAGGUGGUUUCUUAAGUCUGAUGUGAAAGCCCACGGCUCAACCGUGGAGGGUCAUUGGAAACUGGGGAACUUGAGUGCAGAAGAGGAAAGUGGAAUUCCAAGUGUAGCGGUGAAAUGGCGUAGAGAUUUGGAGGAACACCAGUGGCGAAGGCGACUUUCUGGUCUGUAACUGACAC
rnacentral:rRNA from 1 species